rnacentral:rRNA from 1 species
CCUACGGGGGGCAGCAGUGGGGAAUAUUGCACAAUGGGCGCAAGCCUGAUGCAGCCAUGCCGCGUGUGUGAAGAAGGCCUUCGGGUUGUAAAGCACUUUCAGCGGGGAGGAAGGCGGUGAGGUUAAUAACCUCAUCGAUUGACGUUACCCGCAGAAGAAGCACCGGCUAACUCCGUGCCAGCAGCUGCGGUAAUACGGAGGGUGCAAGCGUUAAUCGGAAUUACUGGGCGUAAAGCGCACGCAGGCGGUCUGUCAAGUCGGAUGUGAAAUCCCCGGGCUCAACCUGGGAACUGCAUUCGAAACUGGCAGGCUAGAGUCUUGUAGAGGGGGGUAGAAUUCCAGGUGUAGCGGUGAAAUGCGUAGAGAUCUGGAGGAAUACCGGUGGCGAAGGCGGCCCCCUGGACAAAGACUGACGCUCAGGUGCGAAAGCGUGGGGAGCAAACAGGAUUAGAUACCCGAGUAGUC